GGCUCUGUGGUGCAAUGGAUAGCGCAUUGGACUUCUAAUUCAAAGGCUGUGGGUUCAAGUCCCACCAGAGUCA